rnacentral:lncRNA from 1 species
GUUGAUGUUGAGCUCGUGUUCCAAUACUCCGUGGAGCGGGGAGAGGGCGGGGUCGGGGUCGGGGAGGUCGUGGAGUUCGAUCGCGUGGGGUGGCGGGGUGGCGGCUUCGAUGAAGGAGAAGGCUUUUGAGGUGGGGUUGUAGUGGAGUUUGGCGGCGAGGAGCGGGUGGCGUGUUUGGAGGCUGUGGAGGAUGCCGGCGAAGGCUGCGGAGACCUGUGGCGGCGGUUUGGAUAUUUGGAGUGCUAGCACGGUGAUGCCGGUGCCGGACG